GCCGCCGUGGACCACAGGGGUCGCCCUCACUUCAUUGACAACCGCAGACGCUGCCAGAGGGAGCCGGAGGUUCGACUCCUCCCGGCGGCA